AUUAAAAGGGUAAUGUAACAUUUCCAACUUAAUUGAAAUAAAUGCAUAUUCCACAUAAUCUGUGUGAAACUAGAUAAGGUAUCGGAAAAUGCAUAGAAGGUCAAAAGGAACUCAGAGGGGACAAGGUUGAAGGUAGCGAAGAUGCCGCGAGUAAAAUGUCAGCAAAGGCGAAGAACAUUGGACCUCUGGGUUAGGUGGAUGUCAUGGUCUGGUGCCAUUAGCACGCCCCGAUUGGUGGAAACUGCUCAUAACAGGGCAGGAAGCAUGUGAGGCAAUGGGUCUUUGAGAUGGUGAUGGCUUUGCAGCGUGAAACAAAGACCUAAAAUCAAUAAAGACCAUUAAAAUGCA